GACGAACCGUGCGAACGUUAUUCGGAAUCACUGGGCUUAAAGCGCGUGUAGGCGGGACGGCACGUCGGUCGCUGAAAGCCCCCGGCUCAACCGGGGAACGGGCGCCGAUACGACCGCCCUGGAGGGACGUAGGGGGACCUGGAACAUCCGGUGGAGCGGUGAAAUGCGUUGAGAUCGGAUGGAACGCCCGUGGCGAAAGCGAGGUCCUGGACGUUUUUCUGACGCUGAGACGCGAAAGCCAGGGGAGCGAACGGG
rnacentral:rRNA from 1 species